rnacentral:lncRNA from 1 species
AAUAUGAAGGUUAUAUAGAAAAGAAAGAUAUUGUGCUGGCAUCAAAUUUUUCAUCUGUUGGCAUUGCCACAUGUUUAAAAGUUGAGAGGAAAAUUCUUUCUUUUAUGGUUUAAUGGAUUCUUCAACUUUUAUCACACAUAAAGGAAGGUAUUACAUUCCUUAUCUCGUGUUUAUUUUUAUUCUCUUCUUUUUUCAUCCACAUUCAUCAGUCAAUAUCAAAUUACAGGAAGGCAUAUUAUAGGCUAGCUCUAUAGCAAAACAUGAACCAGGUUCGUCCAAGGAAGUAAUGUGUAUUAAUUGGAAUUCAAGUGUGAACAAAAUGAAUAGUAUAUUAAAAAUGUGACUCAUAAACCUAAUAUUUUUAAGAUUUUUGGUAGAGAUUUGGUGUUAAUAUCUCCUGAUUAUUGCGAUCGAUUUAGUGUCGAGAUGUUUUUUGUGGUUUUGAUUAUUUAGCUCGUUGUUGCUCUCGAUACUCCUUGAACUCUCCAACAUAUAUUGUCCCGAAACCAUAUCCAAUAAUUGAUGUGAUAAGUGUAGCCUUAGAUUUUAAUCCGGUAGUUUAGAUUUUAAAAUCUAGGAGCAUCUCAAAUAAAGAUAUCUAGUGAGUUUCAUAAAAUUUGUAGAAGUGUUUAAAUAAAGUACGGUGUCAUCGUUAAGGUUUAGUUGUAAUAAAAUAUUCUAUCAUCAUUAAUAUAUGGUAUCUUAUGUUUUUUUACCAUUGAA